rnacentral:rRNA from 1 species
UAACACAUGCAAGUCGAACGAGAAAAUUGUAGCAAUACAAUGAGUAAAGUGGCGCACGGGUCCGUAACACGUGGAUAAUCUGCCUUUGGGUGGGGGAUAACUUGUCGAAAGACGAACUAAUACUCCGUAAGACCACAGGAUCUUCGGAUCAAGGGGUAAAAGAUGGCCUCUACUUGUAAGCCAUCACCUGAAGAUGAGUCCGCGCACCAUUAGCUAGUUGGUAGGGUAACGGCCUACCAAGGCCAAGAUGGUUAGCUGGUCUGAGAGGACGACCAGCGACACUGGAACUGAGACACGGUCCAGACUCCUACGGGAGGCAGCAGUGGGGAAUUUUGGACAAUGGGCGAAAGCCUGAUCCAGCAACGCCGCGUGAGUGAUGAAGGCCUUCGGGUCGUAAAGCUCUGUCGGAGGGAACGAACAAGGGUGACCUAACACGUCAUCCUCUGACGGUACUCUCAAAGGAAGCACCGGCUAACUCUGUGCCAGCAGCCGCGGUAAGA